rnacentral:rRNA from 1 species
UACAGGGGGGGCAAGCGUUGUUCGGAAUUACUGGGCGUAAAGGGCUCGUAGGCGGCCAACUAAGUCAGACGUGAAAUCCCUCGGCUUAACCGGGGAACUGCGUCUGAUACUGGAUGGCUUGAGUUCGGGAGAGGGAUGCGGAAUUCCAGGUGUAGCGGUGAAAUGCGUAGAUAUCUGGAGGAACACCGGUGGCGAAGGCGGCAUCCUGGACCGACACUGACGCUGAGGAGCGAAAGCCAGGGGAGCAAACGGG